GGGGCGGCCCCGCGGGUGGGGCCCUCGCGCUGCCGCGGGGCUCCCCUGAGCCUUCUCUUCUCCAGACUGAACUAUCCCAGUUCCCUCAGCCGCUCCCCCGUCAGACUCGUGCUCCUGACCCCUCGCGGCUUCGUAUCCCUUGUCUGGACGCGCUCCAGUGCCUCGAUGUCUUUCUUGUAGCGAGGGGCCCCAGACUGCACACAGUGCUCGGGGUGUGGCCCCACCAGAGCCGAUGAGCACCGCGCUCCUGCUGGCUGCACUACUGCUGAUGCGUGCCCAAGCUUUGAGGCAGGACUGCAGAAUAUGGCUCCAAAUAAAGUCUGCGCUCCUGGUGCUGCAGAAACGCUGUUCGCUCUGAUGCAAUUCUCAACCGCAUCGCCACUGCUGGUUGUUUCCAUCAGAGAGGUAUCUGGUAAUCUGAAAAUGGAUCUAGAAGCCAUUGUUCUAGAUACUGCCGUUGACACGGUGAAAGGAAAGCUCGUGCCCUGCAGAGCUCAGGGCUGGAACAGAUUAAGCAAGCUGUGAGGACACCUGCCGAGAAGCCGUGCAGGUUUUUUCAGGUCUCACAGACUGUUGCAGAAGCACAAACGAACCUGCUGGAGCACUUCCCCUAAGCUGGAACACAAACAGACAGGUCCGAACAAAGAGGACGAAACUUCAGCUUACCUUGAGAAUGUUUGCUGGCUUCUAACAGGACCUCCAGCUUCGGAACAACCUCUCCGUUCUCCACGGAGCCAAGAAGAGCAGCUUGCAGAAACACAGCAUCUCUCCCAUGCAAGCCAGCAGCAGCGGCACGCACAAAGGUGAUGGGUCUCUCCACAGGCAGGCACACGUACGCACGGCGCACCGCCUCUCUGCACUGCCUGUCUCAUCUUGUCUUCGCCCUUCUGGUGAGCAGGCAGGUACUGGAGCAUACAGGGAUCUUGCAGUUUGCACCCUGCAAGCAAGCUUCUGUUUCUCAGUACCUAAGUGGCCCUGGACCGAUCAGGGAGCAAAAGACCCAAAUAGGUAGGGUAGUAGAGGAGCGUAGUAGACAAAGCACUCGGAGAGCGGUGACGCACUGUCAUAGGCUGCCCAGAGCAGCUGUGGGUGUCCCGUCCCUGGUGGUGGUCAAGGGCAGGAUGGAUGGCGCCAUGGGCAGCCUAUUCUACUGAGUGACAGCCCUGCCUACAGCAGGGGGAUUGGAAAUGGGUGGGCUGUAAGGUCCUUUACAACCUCAUGCAUUCUCCGAUUCUAUGGAAGCUAUGGGCGAACCUCGUACUUCUUGGACUUCUCCCUGGCCUCCAAGUACCAGGACACACCAGAAGCCUGGACUGAAGCUGCCUCUUGCUCAUUCUUCAAUGCUACGAUCACAUCCGGACAUAAGAUACCUGAGGACUACUUGUUGUUGGCACGCUGCUGAAAGACAGAAUGGCAGAAUCAGUUGGCAGAAUCAUCUAUUGGUGACUCAUAACCACACAUAGGGUUGAUGACAUAAAGUUGUGAGGACACAGAGAGUGAUAUAUCUUAAGUACGCCUGACGCUACCACCCCUCCAUCCCUUUUUUGAUAAAAGGACAAAAUACUGGUAUAAGGUGUUGCUGCAGACAGCAUAGCUCCGUAGCUUUUGGCAAAGCUAGACAGAUUUACACUAGCUGAGGAUAUAGCUCAUUCCGUGCAUAAAAAAUCAUUCUUCCUGGUCACAUUCUUCCUUUUUUUUUUUUUUUUUUCCUACAGGAGAUUGCCUCUAGAAGACAGAACCCUCUUAUUUAAGCACAGGAGCAAAGCCACAGCAACAGCAGUGCAAAAUGCACUACAGAUCAGCUGGCAAGGUUGUUCAUUCUGCUAACAAAACUCCCCCAGUUCGUCCUUUGAUAUCUCUAACAAACUCCUCCACCCGCCCACAGCUGCCCAGUGCAGCUCCUGUGCUCUGUGGCAAACCUCAAGGCAGGUGCAGAGAAAUAUGUACCUCUCCAGAAAUGCUGCAGUGGUACUAACUAUCACAAGCCUUUCUUGUCGGGAAAGGAAGACUAGCCUAAUUCUGGGCCCACUGACACACGGUGCAAUAAAAAGGAAAUGAGGAGAGCAUCACAAGAUCCUUACUGCCACACUAACGUUGUCAAAACCAAACCUGCAGUGGGGUUGAAGGGCUGCUCUGUCAUUCCAGUGCCUUCAGUUUUAACUCAUCAUCUUCACCAAACUGUAGCAUGCAUGUAGGAGGCCAUAACUCACGGACUUCCUUCUCCCAUCGAUAAUCAUGUGACGUUUUAAAACAGCAGUCUAAAUUUAGCCCUGGAAAGAUAUGUUACUGAUUUCUGUAAGUGCUGUGACCCCCAAAAAAUAAUUCCUUGAUGUUGUCAUUUCCUCUUCAGCCUCUGCAAGAAGGAGGUUAGUGUGACGUGAAAACAUACAAACACAAGUUUGUAACAUUGAAACUUAGGCCACCAACUUAGUUAACAACUGAACUCACUCAUCAGGUCAAGGCUAUCUCCAGAAGUUUUGAGAUGUUGAUCUUUUUUCGAGGUUUCUCUAGUAGGAUCACCCACGUCAUUGCCAGCUUGAACUCAACUCUCUUUUGCCCUGUAAAAAAAAACAAAACAAAAAAAAACCCAUGGAAACUUCUUGUGAUCAUCGGUAUCACCAGCAAGGCAAACAACUGCACUUUUGUAGCUUCACGGGGAUAUCUGAAUACAUCCCAAUUUUGCUCUCAGCAAAGAAAGUCUGCACGAAGGCCAGCUGAAGGGUAUAAGUUCUCAGUAGGCAGAGGGUAGAUGAGUGGUGUCAGGUUCCUUUUGUUGUUUUCCUGCGUCUUCUGUUCCUUUGCCAUAUCCACAAUCUCACCCAGCCUCGUCCUAAUUAUGCUGAGUACUUCCUGGUUCCUUCUGUGCCUUUUGUGCCGUCUCUACAUUCAGAUAGUCUGUUGGUCUGUUUUGCUGGAUGUGUUUUCCUUCUCUCUGUAAUUGAAACUUUCUUGAAGUGUUCAGAAGGAAGAUUGUAUCAGUGUGUGUGCUCUCCAUAUCAUUAUCUCUGAGAGCACGCUGAGAAAAGCAGGGAUUCUGACGUGCUUUCCCACAGCACCAUAUUCUUCAUGAUUACUUAAUUUAUUCCUUCUGCAGACACACCAGGCUCAAUAAACCUUCAGGUACUUCUGUUGCUGGGAUGUUGUUCUUGCUCAUCUCUCGCCGAGCUUCAGGGAUAAGCAGUGUCAAGGCAGAAAGCAAACUGAUAGGCGACAGAGUUCUAAAAUUCUGAGUUUUCUAGAGGAUGCAAAUUGUUUCCUUUUACUACCUGACAGUGCAACACAAGUAACUUGCCAUGGCAACCAGUUUACGAGACAGAAAAAAAGUGAGCACCCCCAGGUGCUUUGUUACUGCAGUAAGGGAAGAGGCUGAGACCUUACCCUUUUUGGUCUCCAUUGAGCUGCACGUCAUCUAGGUAAGCCGUCAGUAGAAAUUUAUGCUGUGUUUGGUGCAAGUUAGCUGCUGCAUGAGCCUCUUUGAUACUUGGAUCAAAACUGAAGUGCAGUCAGAAGGAAAGAAGGAAGUGCUCAGAAGAAUUGAAACAAAGCUGGAUUCUCAGAAGCACAAGGCCUAAUCCAUAUCCGCAACAAGCUGACGCAACUCUGCAGAUGCCAGUAAGAGAUGAACCUGUUUCUUCAGAAAUUAAUUUGGUUUCCAUCCUCUGGCAGUCUCGGUUCUUUUCCCAAUUUCUUUCAAGAAAACUCUGCUCUGCAGAGCUGGGAGUAUUCUGGAGUUAUCUGGGACAGAAGAUGGCAUAGGCUCGCAGAGUCUGUGUUCACAUCCAUUCUCUUUACAGAGAUGCUUCUGGGAAGGGCAGACUUUUUGGUAUGCAGCUUACUUGUGUUGGUGAGAGAACUGAGAAAAGACAAAGUCACGUGGUUAAGGACAGCGAGGGAAAACCCUCCUAACUGCAAGGAGAGCAAAACUGAUCUCCGUUAGCUCAGAGGAGGAGGACUGUGGAAGCUGCUAUAUGUGCAAGUGUUCCUAGAAGCCAGUGUGCUUAAGGUUGCACUGAAAGGGACACAGCCACAGUAGAUGUCACCAAUGCGUACCAUCAUCCCAAGGGUCUGGGGCUCACAGAGAUAUCUAAAACUUGGAACAGAAGUGCAGCUGAGAGACCACGCAGAGGAAGAAGACCAGGGUGUACUUCUAACAGCUCUCCUGCAGCUAUCAGCACAUGCCGGUGGACUUGUUAUAGCACGCUGAACGGCACGUUCUUGCUGGCUCACUGGGGCCUGAUCCAAAGCUUACUGCAGGCAAUGAGGAAGAUUCGUG
ensembl:lncRNA